CGGGGGAGCAAGCGUUGUUCGGAUUUACGUGGGCGUAAAGGGCGCGUAGGCGGCCUCUGCAAGUCGACUGUGAAAUCUCCGGGCUUAACCCGGAACGGUCAGCCGAUACUGCAGGGCUAGAGUGCAGAAGGGGCAACUGGAAUUCUCGGUGUAGCGGUGAAAUGCGUAGAUAUCGAGAGGAACACCUGCGGCGAAGGCGGGUUGCUGGGCUGACACUGACGCUGAGGCGCGAAAGCUAGGGGAGCGAACGGGAUUACGAUACCCCGGUAGUCCCUAGCCUUAAACGAUGAAUGCUUGGUGUCUGGGGUUUUAUAGUCCCCCGGGUGCCGUCGCUAACGCUUUAAGCAUUCCGCCUGGGGAGUACGGUCGCAAGACUG
rnacentral:rRNA from 1 species